AUGACCGUGGGCUUAGUCACCGUUUACCAAAAGACCUGAUGUGUGACCAAAGAAGAAAAACAACCUGGAGUCACAGAACCAGCUGACCAGCUUUUUCCACCAGCGGUCCAUGGAGCCAGCCCCUGUGACACACGUAUAGCUACAUUACUCACCUGAUUAAAGUAACAGUGUAAAAGACAAGCAUUCAGAUAAGACGC